rnacentral:rRNA from 1 species
UGGCCAUCCGAGUUGUAAUCUAGAGAAGUGUUACCCGCGUCAGACCGUGUACAAGUCUCCUGGAAUGGAGCGUCAUAGAGGGUGAGAAUCCCGUCUUUGACACGGACUACUGAGGCUUUGUGGUACUCUCAAAGAGUCGAGUUGUUUGGGAAUGCAGCUCAAAAUGGGUGGUAAAUUCCAUCUAAAGCUAAAUAUUGGCGAGAGACCGAUAGCGAACAAGUACCGUGAGGGAAAGAUGAAAAGAACUUUGGAAAGAGAGUUAAACAGUACGUGAAAUUGCUGAAAGGGAAACGCUUGAAGUCAGUCGCGUUGGCCGGAAAUCAGCCUUGCUUUUGCAUGGUGUACUUUCUGAUUGACGGGCCAGCAUCAGUUUUGACCGAUGGAAAAAGUCUAGAGGAAGGUGGCAUCUUCGGAUGUGUUAUAGCCUCUGGUCGUAUACAUCGGUUGGGACUGAGGAACUCAGCACGCCGCAAGGCCGGGUCUUUGACCACGUUCGUGCUUAGGAUGCUGGCAUAAUGGCUUUAAUCGACCCGUCUUGAAACACGGACCAAGGAGUCUAACAUGCCUGCGAGUGUUUGGGUGGAAAACCCGAGCGCGUAAUGAAAGUGAAAGUUGAGAUCCCUGUCAUGGGGAGCAUCGACGCCCGGACCAGAAGUUUUCUGACGGCCCUGCGGUAGAGCAUGUAUGUUGGGACCCGAAAGAUGGUGAACUAUGCCUGAAUAGGGUGAAGCCAGAGGAAACUCUGGUGGAGGCUCGUAGC